UACGUAGGGUGCGAGCGUUAAUCGGAAUUACUGGGCGUAAAGCGUGCGCAGGCGGUAAUGCAAGUCAGAUGUGAAAUCCCCGGGCUUAACCUGGGAACUGCAUUUGUGACUGCAUUGCUGGAGUGCGGCAGAGGGGGAUGGAAUUCCGCGUGUAGCAGUGAAAUGCGUAGAUAUGCGGAGGAACACCGAUGGCGAAGGCAAUCCCCUGGGCCUGCACUGACGCUCAUGCACGAAAGCGUGGGGAGCAAACAGG
rnacentral:rRNA from 1 species